UACAGAGGGUGCGAGCGUUGUCCGGAUUUAUUGGGCGUAAAGAGCUCGUAGGCGGCUUGGUAAGUCGGACGUGAAAUCUCCUGGCUCAACUGGGAGGGGCCGUUCGAUACUGCCACGGCUAGAGUCCGGUAGAGGAGUGUGGAAUUCCCGGUGCAGCGGUGAAAUGCGCAGAUAUCGGGAGGAACACCUACAGCGAAGGCGGCACUCUGGGCUGGAACUGACGCUGAGGAGCGAAAGCGUGGGGAGCAAACAGG
rnacentral:misc_RNA from 1 species